rnacentral:rRNA from 1 species
CUGGCGGCGUCCUAUCAUGCAAGUCGAGCGAAUGGAUUAAGAGCUUGCUCUUAUGAAGUUAGCGGCGGACGGGUGAGUAACACGUGGGUAACCUGCCCAUAAGACUGGGAUAACUCCGGGAAACCGGGGCUAAUACCGGAUAACAUUUUGAACCGCAUGGUUCGAAAUUGAAAGGCGGCUUCGGCUGUCACUUAUGGAUGGACCCGCGUCGCAUUAGCUAGUUGGUGAGGUAACGGCUCACCAAGGCAACGAUGCGUAGCCGACCUGAGAGGGUGAUCGGCCACACUGGGACUGAGACACGGCCCAGACUCCUACGGGAGGCAGCAGUAGGGAAUCUUCCGCAAUGGACGAAAGUCUGACGGAGCAACGCCGCGUGGAGUGAUGAAGGCUUUCGGGUCGUAAAACUCUGUUGUUAGGGAAGAACAAGUGCUAGUUGAAUAAGCUGGCACCUUGACGGUACCUAACCAGAAAGCCACGGCUAACUACGUGCCAGCAGCCGCGGUAAUACGUAGGUGGCAAGCGUUAUCCGGAAUUAUUGGGCGUAAAGCGCGCGCAGGUGGUUUCUUUAAGUCUGAUGUGAAAGCCCACGGCUCAACCGUGGAGGGUCAUUGGAAACUGGGGAGACUUGAGUGCAGAAAGAGGAAAGUGGAAUUCCAUGUGUAGCGGUGAAAUGCGUAGAAAAAAUUGGAAGAACCCCAGUGGCGAAGGCGACUUUCUGGUCUGUAACUGACACUGAGGCGCGAAAGCGUGGGGAGCGAACAGGAUUAGAUACCCUGGUAGU